UUCGCCCGUGUUCCUUCAUACUUCUGUGUAUUCCUCCGCGUCCCGAUGGCCGACCAAAGAGUUUUAUGCUCGCGGGUGUCGGCAAUCCGAGUCGAUACCGGAAACCGUUCACUGCACACUGUGUCGUAACCGAUAUUAUAAUCGUUUUUCCUGUUCCCGUUUGAUUUUUUCGUUUCGAAAGCACUCGAGUGUCUAAAUACUCUUAUAUUAUCGGUUCUCUACGACUCUCCAUCAUCGCUCGUCUGUUCACGUAUUCCUUUCUAACCUACAAAAAAAAAAAAAAACUAACGUACAAAAACGGUUAAUGAGAUUGAUAACAGGUUUGAUAAUACACUCUGGUAUUAACACCGACAGUGUAAAAUUGGUUUUUAUUCACAAAAAU